rnacentral:rRNA from 1 species
UACGGAAGGGGCAAGCGUUGUUCGGAAUCAUUGGGCGUAAAGGGCGCGUAGGUGGUUCUGUAUGUCUACCGUGAAAGCGUACGGCUCAACUGUAUUUUGUCGGUGGAAACUGCAGGACUUGAGGCUGGGAGGGGCUGGUGGAAUUCCCUGUGUAGCGGUGAAAUGCGUAGAGAUGGGGGAGAACACGCGUGGCGAAGGCGGCCAGCUAGACCAGUUCUGACACUGAGGCGCGACAGCGUGGGGAGCAAACAGG